rnacentral:tRNA from 1 species
GGAGGGCUAGUCCUAAUUGGUAAGGCGGCGGUCUUGAAAACCGCUGGGUUCACACCCAUGGGGGUUCGAGUCCCUCGCCCUCCGCAA